AAGAAAGUCCUUGAUUAGCAUAAACUUCAGUCAUCUCAACAACUAAUUUUCUUAUUUAUUUUUUAACAAAGAGCUGGGAAAAAUUCAGAAUCUUCAUGUACAUCAUUCACUUUGGGAAGGGAGGGAUUAGCAUGACACUUUCAAUCAAGGCACCAAAACUGCAUAUAUCACACUAAACAUAUUCAAAAGAGAUGCAUUCUUUCAUCUAGGUAGCUUUUGUUGAAACAAUCCCAAAAUUGUUGUUGUUGUGCUAAGACCAGAGUUUGAACAGUACAAAUC
rnacentral:lncRNA from 1 species